rnacentral:rRNA from 1 species
GAUGAACGCUGGCGGCGUGCCUAAUACAUGCAAGUCGAGCGAACAGAUGCGGAGCUUGCUCCUCUGACGUUAGCGGCGGACGGGUGAGUAACACGUGGAUAACCUACCUAUAAGACUGGGAUAACUUCGGGAAACCGGAGCUAAUACCGGAUAAUAUAUUGAACCGCAUGGUUCAAUAGUGAAAGACGGUUUUGCUGUCACUUAUAGAUGGAUCCGCGCCGCAUUAGCUAGUUGGUAAGGUAACGGCUUACCAAGGCAACGAUGCGUAGCCGACCUGAGAGGGUGAUCGGCCACACUGGAACUGAGACGCGGUCCAGACUCCUACGGGAGGCAGCAGUAGGGAAUCUUCCGCAAUGGGCGAAAGCAUGACGGAGCAACGCCGCGUGAGUGAUGAAGGUCUUCGGAUCGUAAAACUCUGUUAUUAGGGAAGAACAAAUGUGUAAGUAACUAUGCACGUCUUGACGGUACCUAAUCAGAAAGCCACGGCUAACUACGUG